GACGAACGCUGGCGGCGUGCUUAACACAUGCAAGUCGAACGGAAAGGCCCUGCUUUUGUGGGGUGCUCGAGUGGCGAACGGGUGAGUAACACGUGAGUAACCUGCCCUUGACUUUGGGAUAACUUCAGGAAACUGGGGCUAAUACCGUAUAGGAGCUCCUGCUGCAUGGUGGGGGUUGGAAAGUUUCGGCGGUUGGGGAUGGACUCGCGGCUUAUCAGCUUGUUGGUGGGGUAGUGGCUUACCAAGGCUUUGACGGGUAGCCGGCCUGAGAGGGUGACCGGCCACACUGGAACUGAGACAGGGGCCAGACUGCGAAGGGAGGCAGGAGGGGGGAAGACUGGACAAUGGGCGCAAGCCUGAUCCAGCCAUACCGCGUGGGUGAAGAAGGCCGUCGGGUUGGAAAGCCCUUUGGUGGGGAAAGAAAAGCAGCAGGUUAAUACCCCGCUGUUCUGACGGUACCCAAAGAAUAAGCACCGGCUAACUUCGUG
rnacentral:rRNA from 1 species